rnacentral:rRNA from 1 species
UACGGAGGAGGCAAGCGUUAUCCGGAAUUAUUGGGCGUAAAGCGUCCGCAGGUGGCUAUUCAAGUCUGCGGUCAAAGACUGGGGCUUAACCCUGGAAAGGCCGUGGAAACUGAAGAGCUAGAGUGCAGUAGGGGUAGGGGGAAUUCCCGGUGUAGCGGUGAAAUGCGUAGAGCUCGGGAAGAACAUCGGUGGCGAAAGCGCUCUGCUGGACUGCAACUGACACUCAGGGACGAAAGCUAGGGGAGCGAAUGGG